AAUAGAGUGGACUAUAAACCUGUAUAUGGUAUUUAAGAGAGAAAUAUCAGCCUUUGGACUCAGUGUUAUGGCUUGACCAUUUAGAAACAUUGUAUAUAAGAAACAUCUGUAUGAAAGUAAUGAAAGUAUUCCUGUGUUUUAUACAAAAAAGUAGUUUGAAAAGUUGUGGCCCUCAACUUAUGUCCAUCCAAUGUUUCCAUAUGACCAGACUCAGGUCAUACAGUCUCAUGAUGUCAGAGUCUGCCAAACAUCUUCAUCACAAGUCAUCAUUUUUUCCAUUACAAUCAACCCAACACAAUGUGAGAAGAUACUGAGAGACAUUAAUGAAUAUGACUACUACAUAUUUGUAUGCUGAUGAGCCAGUAUACCCACUUGAACGUGGAAAAAUAAUGAAACUGGAGAAAGAUAAUGGAAUUAAGCCCUUGUAUAGAAAGAACUGCAUGACGCAUGGAAUUUCAGCUUUCUAUUGGAAUAUGGACAGUGCAUCUAUUAAUAAAAAGCAUCCAGAGAGGGUGCAUGUUUCUAA